GUCCAGACAAACACCCAAAACACAAUUUCUAUUGUCAAAAUCAAAUGGACCUUUAGCUUCAUAAAAAUCAAACAGCCGCUUCUUUUCUCUUUUUCCAACCAAUGUUAUAAGAACAAACACUACAACAGAUCAAUCACCCAACGCAGAUCGAGAAUGAUGAAAAGGAAGGGCAGGUGUGAAACGUUUUAUCAAACGAAGCGGUUAGAACUAAAAAGCGUUUGGAUGAUAAAUGGAGGGGUUGGGACUGAGUUGAUGAAGAAUCAUCCAUGGCCGACCUAUCUCAUAUGCCCUUAGGGAAGGGUUAAACGGAAAAUUA
rnacentral:misc_RNA from 1 species